rnacentral:rRNA from 1 species
AGCGUACAAGGUGGAUGCCUUGGCAAUCAGAGGCGAUGAAGGACGUGCUAAUCUGCGAAAAGCGUCGGUAAGGUGAUAUGAACCGUUACAGCCGGCGAUGUCCGAAUGGGGAAACCCAGUGCAAUUCGUUGCACUAUCGUUAACUGAAUACAUAGGUUAACGAGGCGAACCGGGGGAACUGAAACAUCUAAGUACCCCGAGGAAAAGAAAUCAACCGAGAUUCCCCCAGUAGCGGCGAGCGAACGGGGAGCAGCCCAGAGUCUGAAUCAGCUUGUGUGUUAGUGGAACGGUCUGGAAAGUCCGACGGUACAGGGUGAUAGUCCCGUACACCAAAAUGCACAGGUUGUGAACUCGAAGAGUAGGGCGGGACACGUGGUAUCCUGUCUGAAUAUGGGGGGACCAUCCUCCAAGGCUAAAUACUCCUGACUGACCGAUAGUGAACCAGUACCGUGAGGGAAAGGCGAAAAGAACCCCGGCGAGGGGAGUGAAAAAGAACCUGAAACCGUGUACGUACAAGCAGUGGGAGCCCUUUAAGGGUGACUGCGUACCUUUUGUAUAAUGGGUCAGCGACUUAUAUUCUGUAGCAAGGUUAACCGUAUAGGGGAGCCGCAGGGAAACCGAGUCUUAACUGGGCGUUAAGUUGCAGGGUAUAGACCCGAAACCCGGUGAUCUAGCCAUGGGCAGGUUGAAGGUUGGGUAACACUAACUGGAGGACCGAACCGACUAAUGUUGAAAAAUUAGCGGAUGACUUGUGGCUGGGGGUGAAAGGCCAAUCAAACCGGGAGAUAGCUGGUUCUCCCCGAAAGCUAUUUAGGUAGCGCCUCGUGAAUUCAUCUUCGGGGGUAGAGCACUGUUUCGGCUAGGGGGUCAUCCCGACUUACCAACCCGAUGCAAACUACGAAUACCGAAGAAUGUUAUCACGGGAGACACACGGCGGGUGCUAACGUCCGUCGUGAAGAGGGAAACAACCCAGACCGCCAGCUAAGGUCCCAAAGUCAUGGUUAAGUGGGAAACGAUGUGGGAAGGCACAGACAGCCAGGAUGUUGGCUUAGAAGCAGCCAUCAUUUAAAGAAAGCGUAAUAGCUCACUGGUCGAGUCGGCCUGCGCGGAAGAUGUAACGGGGCUAAACCAUGCACCGAAGCUGCGGCAGCGACACUAUGUGUUGUUGGGUAGGGGAGCGUUCUGUAAGCCUGCGAAGGUGACCUGUGAGGGUUGCUGGAGGUAUCAGAAGUGCGAAUGCUGACAUAAGUAACGAUAAAGCGGGUGAAAAGCCCGCUCGCCGGAAGACCAAGGGUUCCUGUCCAACGUUAAUCGGGGCAGGGUGAGUCGACCCCUAAGGCGAGGCCGAAAGGCGUAGUCGAUGGGAAACAGGUUAAUAUUCCUGUACUUGGUGUUACUGCGAAGGGGGGACGGAGAAGGCUAUGUUAGCCGGGCGACGGUUGUCCCGGUUUAAGCAUGUAGGCUGGUUGUCCAGGCAAAUCCGGAUAAUCAAGGCUGAGGUGUGAUGACGAGGCACUACGGUGCUGAAGUAACAAAUGCCCUGCUUCCAGGAAAAGCCUCUAAGCAUCAGGUAACAUUAAAUCGUACCCCAAACCGACACAGGUGGUCAGGUAGAGAAUACCAAGGCGCUUGAGAGAACUCGGGUGAAGGAACUAGGCAAAAUGGUGCCGUAACUUCGGGAGAAGGCACGCUGGUGUGUAGGUGAAGUCCCUGCGGAUGGAGCUGAGACCAGUCGAAGAUACCAGCUGGCUGCAACUGUUUAUUAAAAACACAGCACUGUGCAAACACGAAAGUGGACGUAUACGGUGUGACGCCUGCCCGGUGCCGGAAGGUUAAUUGAUGGGGUUAUCCGUAAGGAGAAGCUCUUGAUCGAAGCCCCGGUAAACGGCGGCCGUAACUAUAACGGUCCUAAGGUAGCGAAAUUCCUUGUCGGGUAAGUUCCGACCUGCACGAAUGGCGUAAUGAUGGCCAGGCUGUCUCCACCCGAGACUCAGUGAAAUUGAACUCGCUGUGAAGAUGCAGUGUACCCGCGGCAAGACGGAAAGACCCCGUGAACCUUUACUAUAGCUUGACACUGAACAUUGAGCCUUGAUGUGUAGGAUAGGUGGGAGGCUUUGAAGCGUGGACGCCAGUCUGCGUGGAGCCAACCUUGAAAUACCACCCUUUAAUGUUUGAUGUUCUAACGUUGGCCCCUUACCGGGGUUGCGGACAGUGUCUGGUGGGUAGUUUGACUGGGGCGGUCUCCUCCCAAAGCGUAACGGAGGAGCACGAAGGUUAGCUAAUCCUGGUCGGACAUCAGGAGGUUAGUGCAAUGGCAUAAGCUAGCUUGACUGCGAGCGUGACGGCGCGAGCAGGUGCGAAAGCAGGUCAUAGUGAUCCGGUGGUUCUGAAUGGAAGGGCCAUCGCUCAACGGAUAAAAGGUACUCCGGGGAUAACAGGCUGAUACCGCCCAAGAGUUCAUAUCGACGGCGGUGUUUGGCACCUCGAUGUCGGCUCAUCACAUCCUGGGGCUGAAGUAGGUCCCAAGGGUAUGGCUGUUCGCCAUUUAAAGUGGUACGCGAGCUGGGUUUAGAACGUCGUGAGACAGUUCGGUCCCUAUCUGCCGUGGGCGCUGGAGAAUUGAGGGGGGCUGCUCCUAGUACGAGAGGACCGGAGUGGACGCAUCACUGGUGUUCGGGUUGUCAUGCCAAUGGCACUGCCCGGUAGCUAAAUGCGGAAGAGAUAAGUGCUGAAAGCAUCUAAGCACGAAACUUGCCCCGAGAUGAGUUCU